GGUUAAUGUGGCCGAGUUCAGGCAGUAAAUUGUAAAUUUACCAACGAAGUUAAUUCCGUAACCA
rnacentral:tRNA from 1 species